rnacentral:rRNA from 1 species
UUAAGCAUAUUUAAGUGCAGUUGGUGGAUGCCUAGACAUUAAAAGACGAUGAAGGACGUAGCAGCCUGCGAAAAGCCUCGGUAAGGUGGCAAGCAACCUUUGACCCGGGGAUAUCCGAAUGGGGAAACCCAUCUAGUUGAAGACUAGAUAUCCGUGCCUGAAUACAUAGGGUAUCGGAAGACGACCCAGCGAAGUGAAACAUCUCAGUAGCUGGAGGAAAAGAAAAUAAUAAAUGCCUACAGAUUUAUCUUCUCUCAUUUAUGAGAGGAAAUAAAUCUGCGGGUUGUAUUCCGUUAGUAGUGGCGAGCGAAAGCGGAGCAGUCCAAACCUAUUUCAGUGUUGUAUCAGUUUGGUGAAGUUCUCACGAAUGGAUCUAAGCUGGUACUUAAAGAUACAUGUCGUUGCUGUUAAGGGGUUAUAGAUAAUUACGUUUGUCAGCAUGUAGUGGCAAGGUAGAGAAGAUAUGACUUCCCUAGUGGAGUGGUCCUGGAAAGGCCAACCAAAGCGGGUGAAAGUCCCAUACGCGAAAGGGGUUAUAUCUCUACGGUUUUUAUCUCGAGUACCACGGGACUCGUGAAAUCCUGUGGGAAUUUGUCGUGACUAUGCGAUAAGACUAAAUACUUUUAAUGAUCGAUAGUGAACUAGUACCGUGAGGGAAAGGUGAAAAGUAGGCCGGUAAGGCCGAUGAAAUAGUAUCUGAAACCAAUUGCAUACAAUGAGUUGGAGCUCAAGUGUCCCGAUUUAUCGGGGAUUACUGGGUGACAGCGUUCCUAUUGAAGAAUGAGCCAACGAGUUUGUUCUACGUUGCUUGUUUAAUCCCGCAAAGGGAGAAGGCAAAGUGAAAGCGAGGCUUAAUAGGCCGAUUUAUAGCAGCGUGGACAAGACCCGAAACCGGGUGACCUAACCAUGACCAGGGUGAACCAGGUGUAACAACCUGGGGAAGCCCGAACCCACGAGCCGUGCAACAGUCGGGGAUGAGUUGUGGUUAGCGGAGAAAUUCCAAUCGAACUCGGUAAUAGCUGGUUCUCCUCGAAAUAGCUUUAGGGCUAGCUUUAAGAUUAGACUCAGGGGUAGAGCACUGAAUGAGAACAGGUCCGUAAGGUUACUGUUUUCAAUCAAACUCCGAAUACUGAGUAUCCGUAUCUUAAAAGUCAGACUAUGGGGGCUAAGCUCCAUCAGUCAAAAGGGAAACAGCCCAGAUCACAAUCUAAGGUCCCUAAAUCCAUGUUAAGUGUAGAAGGUGGUAUUAUAACAAUGACAACCAGGAGGUUGGCUUAGAAGCAGCCAUCCUUUAAAGAUAGCGUAACAGCUCACUGGUCAAGUCGUUUUGCGCCUAAAAUGUUCGGGGCUAAACAUGGUACCGAAGAUGUGGAACCAGUGCUAUGCACUGGAAAUUCUAAAUCUAAAAUCUAAAAUACCAAAUAUUUUUUAAAUAAAAAAAUUGGAAAUUGGAAAUUGGAAAUUGGAAAUUCCAGCGCGUAGCGCUGGUUGGUAGAGGAGUAUUCCAACUGGAAUGAAGUCGGACCCGCGAGGGCCGGUGGACUGGUUGGAAGUAAGAAUGUUGGCAUGAGUAGCAAAAAUCAGGGUGAGAGUCCCUGACACCGUAAGUCCAAGGUUUCCUGGGUAACGAGAAUCGACCCAGGGUUAGUCGGUCCUAAGGCGAGGCUGAAAGGCGUAGUCGAUGGACAAGCUGGUUAAUAUUCCAGCACUACCUUAAUUUUCCGAUGGGGGGACACAUUAGCAGAGGUUGAGCGUUUUUUGGCUAUAGGCGUUGCUGGUCUAAGAUGUGAUAGAUAGGUAAAUCCGUUUAUCAUUAGCAUCUAAAUUGGCAGAAGAGAAAACCGCAAGGUGGACUCAAUUCAAUUAAAGUUGGUGUCAAGAAAAACCUCUAGGGUUAAGAUUAAGGUAUCCGUACUGCAAACCGACUCAGGUGGACGAGGCGAGUAGCCUCAGGUGUACGAGAGAAACAUUGUUCAGGACCUCGGCAAAAUAGCGACCGUAACUUCGGGAUAAGGUCUGCCUGUCGCAAGAUAGGCCGCAGCUAAAGAUGCCAAGCGACUGUUUACCAAAAACACAGGUCUCUGCUAAACCGUAAGGUGAUGUAUAGGGGCUGAUGCCUGGCCAGUGUCUGAACGUUAAGGGGAGGGGUUAGCCGCAAGGUGAAGCCUUGAACCGAAGCGCAGAUGAACGCCGGCGGUAACUAUAACCGUCCUAAGGUUUUGUACUUAUUUAAUUAUGAGUACAGAAGGACUGGGACGGUUAUAAUAGAUUCGUUGCCUCUUAUUACAGUAAUGUAAUAGUGGUCCUAAAACACUUAGCUAUAUGCUGGAAAGCUGGCAGAUUAAUAUUAUUCUAUGGUAUAACAGUACCAUAGAUAAAAAUAAAAUCAUGUCAGACAAUCAGCAGGAAAGACUAAGGAUCGAUAAUUGGAUAGCGGGAUUCACUGAUGGAGAAGGAUGUUUCUCUGUUAGUAUUAUAAAAAAUUCAACUACCAAAUCAGGCUGGCAAAUAUUCCCAGAAUUUGUAAUAACGCAAGGUGAGAAAAGUUUACCCAUACUUGAAACAAUUAAAAAACGUUUUAAGUGCGGUAAAAUUUAUGUCAAUCGUCGAAAAGAUAACCAUAAAGAAAACUUGCACCGUUAUUGCGUUAGAUCAAUUGGGGAAUUGUCAGAUAUUAUUAUUCCAUUUUUCAUCAAGAAUAAACUAAGAACAGCUAAAGCUGAUGAUUUUAAAAAAUUUACCAGAAUAAUCAAUAAAAUAAAAAAUCAUAAGCAUUUAACUGCCAAGGGGAUGAGAGAUAUUGCUCGGAUAAUCGAGCAAAUGAAUCGUAAAAGACCUGCUAGAUUCUUAGAAUCCUCAGAGACUACACGCUAAGCGCCUGUAAUCCACAGGCUGAAGAUAUAGUCCAAAGCAUAAAGGAUGCUAGAGCGAAAUUCCUUGUCGGGUAAGUUCCGACCCGCACGAAUGGCAUAACGACUUGGCAACUGUCUUAACAAUGUACUCGGCGAAAUUGCAAUUGUCGUGAAGAUGCGACAUACCCAUAGUUAGACGAAAAGACCCCGUGAAGCUUUACUACAACUUGGUACUGAAUUAUGUUAUUGCAUGUUUAGAAUAGGUGGGAGCCGUAAGGCGCCAGUGAAAUACCACCCUUGUUCUAUUGUAAUUCUAACCUACUCCCAUGAAUCUGGGAGAGGGACAGUAUCUGGUGGGUAGUUUAACUGGGGCGGUUGCCUCCCAAAAUGUAACGGAGGCGUUUACAAAGGUUGGCUAACUCCGGAUGGAAAUCGGAGUGAUAGUGUAAAGGCACAAGCCAGCUUUACUGCAAGACCAGCAAGUCGAGCAGUUACGAAAGUAGAACUUAGUGAUCCGACCGUACGAAAUAGGACGGCGGAAGCUCAUCGGAUAAAAGCUACUCCGGGGAUAACAGGCUAGUCUCCUCCAAGAGUCCACAUCGACGAGGAGGUUCGGCACCUCGAUGUCGGCCCGUCCUAUCCUGGAGCUGAAGAAGGUUCCAAGGGUUUGGCUGUUCGCCAAUUAAAAGGGCACGCGAGCUGGGUUCAGAACGUCGUGAGACAGUUCGGUCUCCUAUCUACUAUGGGCGUUGAAAUUUGAGAGGGCCGUUUCCUAGUACGAGAGGACCGGAAACGACUGACCUCUGGUGUACCAGCUGUUCUGCCAAGGGCAUCGCUGGGUAGCUAAGUCGGGUUAGGAUAAACGCUGAAAGCAUAUAAGCGUGAAGCCGUCCUCAAGAUAAGAUUUCAUUAAGACCGCUUGUAGAUGACAAGCUUGAUAGGCUCCAGGUGUAAGUGUAGUAAUACAUUCAGCCGAGGAGUACUAAUGGUUUACGUAUGUUUAAUC